UAAUCCAAAAAUGAUAAAAGAGGGUUAAAUAAGUGCAACCAUCUCGAAAUCAACAUUGAGUCCGCCAGGAGACAAGGUGUCUAAAUUAAAUAUCCACCUCAUCUCGCAGCGGCUCAACGCUGAUUCCAGACACCCUCCUCUCCAAUGAGUUUCAGUCUUUUGGAUCCCCCAAAAUUGGAGUCCAGAGGGAUCUCCUCCAUGACAAUUUAAAAAAUGUGUGGAUACAUUAUGUUUUAAAAA